CCUACGGGGUGCAGCAGUGGGGAAUAUUGGGCAAUGGACGCAAGUCUGACCCAGCAACGCCGCGUGAAGGAAGAAGGCUUUCGGGUUGUAAACUUCUUUUAAGGGGGAAGAGCAGAAGACGGUACCCCUUGAAUCAGCCACGGCUAACUACGUGCCAGCAGCCGCGGUAAUACGUAGGUGGCAAGCGUUGUCCGGAUUUACUGGGUGUAAAGGGCGUGCAGCCGGAGAGACAAGUCAGAUGUGAAAUCCACGGGCUCAACCCGUGAACUGCAUUUAAUACUGGUCGGCUAGAGUACAGGAGGGGUAAACGGAAUUUCUAGUGUAGCGGUGAAAUGCGUAGAUAUUAGGAAGAACACCGGAGGCGAAGGCGGUUUACUGGACUGCAACUGACACUGAGGCUCGAAAGCGUGGGGAGCAAACAGGAUUAGAUACCCCUGUAGUC
rnacentral:rRNA from 1 species